UCCUUUCACUUUUUCAUCUACUCCAAUGUCUGCUUUUCAUUUUCUCGAAUCUCUUUUUCUUCAUUAAAAAACUCAUUUUCUCUCAAUUGAAUUGAAGCUUUCCAAGUAUUCUCUCAACAAAUCUCUGCUAUUAAUCUUCUGUAAUCUCUUCAUUUACUCCCCUGCAACUCCAAUUUUCUUUUCGUAAAUUUCAUUGGAACAGAACAAAUCGAAAUCGUCGGAGUUUAGGUAGAAAUUUCGUUUCUCGCAAACUUCAAGUUAUAAUCUUGUGUUCUUCUAACAGAUCCGGUGUAGGUUGUCGUAAACCACCAGAACAGAUCUGAACAGAUCUGCUCAACAAAUCCUGCACUUCUGAUACCAUUUUUUUGCCAAACAUGGCCUUUGAUUUCUUUAUAUUUGAGUGGUUACCAACUUACGACGUUAUUCUAAGCUUUAAUCUCUUACACUUCGGUCACUAAAUGCAUGAAGAAAAGUCAAGACUUGAAUGUGUUUUGAAGAAAUUAAAGUAUGAUACUUGAUUCAUUGGAUAUAAAGUCAUUCAAGUUCGGGUAUUCUUUCACAGAAGUAAAGGCUAUGCAACUGGUCAAACUACAAAUUAUGAUUUUGAUUCAUCUGUCUUCUUAAUUGCAUUUUAAAUUUAUUAACCAACUAAAUUCAUUUGUCAUUGUUCUUUGUUUUUUUUUUUAUUUCGUUUCAUAAUUUUUAGGGAAAAUUAACUGCUACUCGAUGACUUCUUCUUUAACAGUUGCCCACCGGUCACCGGAGAAAUUCACGUCUCCAUCAAAACGAAUUGGCCGUAUAAUCUCUGAAAUAUUGAAAAAAUCGCAAGAGAACACGGGCUAGUAACGAUUAAGAAGGUUAAGCUCCCCUUGUGUGAAUAUCCGUUUUACGUCAACAAGAAAGCUGCGGGGACAUUCCCCGUAAUACGUUUUGCAAUCGGUGCACCGUUACGUAUGUGUUUGGCAUGAAAAAAUAGUAAGUAUAUCAUUUGGGUUUGGCACAUUUUGAUAACAGUUUGAUGGUUUUUGGAUGAUACUCACUUGGGUUUGGCAUGUUUUGAUAAACAAUUUGAUGGUUUUUGGAUGAUACUUCAUGAUUUUGUACAUUUGGAUGUUGGUUGAUGUGUUUUGGCAAAAGCAAUGGAUGAUGGUUUUUGGAUGAUCU